rnacentral:rRNA from 1 species
GUAGUCCACGCCCUAAACGAUGUCAACUGGUUGUUGGGAGGGUUUCUUCUCAGUAACGUAGCUAACGCGUGAAGUUGACCGCCUGGGGAGUACGGCCGCAAGGUUGAAACUCAAAGGAAUUGACGGGGACCCGCACAAGCGGUGGAUGAUGUGGUUUAAUUCGAUGCAACGCGAAAAACCUUACCUACCCUUGACAUGUCUGGAAUCUUGAAGAGAUUUGGGAGUGCUCGAAAGAGAGCCAGAACACAGGCGCUGCAUGGCCGUCGUCAGCUCGUGUCGUGAGAUGUUGGGUUAAGUCCCGCAACGAGCGCAACCCUUGUCAUUAGUUGCUACGAAAGGGCACUCUAAUGAGACUGCCGGUGACAAACCGGAGGAAGGUGGGGAUGACGUCAGGUCAUCAUGGCCCUUAUGGGUAGGGCUACACACGUCAUACAAUGGCCGGGACAGAGGGCUGCCAACCCGCGAGGGGGAGCUAAUCCCAGAAACCCGGUCGUAGUCCGGAUCGUAGUCUGCAACUCGACUGCGCGAAGUCGGAAUCGCUAGUAAUCGCGGAUCAGCUUGCCGCGGUGAAUACGUUCCCGGGUCUUGUACACACCGCCCGUCACACCAUGGGAGCGGGUUCUGCCAGAAGUAGUUAGCCUAACCGCAAGGGGGGCG